GAUGAUGACGAUGAACACUGCCAAGGCCAAGGCUAAGUUGGAUGCAGUGGGAUGAUGAUGGUAACGGUGAACACUGCCAAGGCUUAAUGAUGAAGAGUAUUAUAGUAUUAUGGCUAUUGUGUUCCUGAGUAUGCAAUGAUUGGCCAGUUGACUUUGAAAUCAGACGUAUAUAGUUUUGGGGUAGUUUUUCUGGAAAUUAUUACAGGCAGGAAAGCAAUUGACAAUUCAAGAGCUACAAGAGAGCAGAACUUGGUUGGGUAAGAAAAUAUAAUUAACCAAUUCAAAGUUCUCAUUUUCCGCCCGGUACUCCUAAAUCCAAGAGAGACAGCGAGAAGAAAUCACAAUGGUGGUAGUGGAUGAUCAGACCUUUGUGAAUGCUUCUCUCACUUGCAUCUCAUUCACUCUACAGUUAGCAAACCUGUGAUACGAAUAAAAAAAUGUCAAUCACAUUUGCUUCUCCAUUUUUUCA